UACGUAGGUGGCAAGCGUUGUCCGGAUUUACUGGGCGUAAAGAGCGCGCAGGCGGUCGUUCAAGUCGCGUGUGAAAGCCCCCGGCUCAACUGGGGAGGGUCACGCGAUACUGAUCGACUCGAAGGCAGGAGAGGGUAGUGGAAUUCCCGGUGUAGUGGUGAAAUGCGUAGAUAUUGGGAGGAACACCGGUGGCGAAGGCGGCCCUCUGGACCGGUACUGACGCUGAUGCGCGAAAGCGUGGGUAGCAAACGGG
rnacentral:rRNA from 1 species